AGACCCGAAACCCGGUGAUCUAGCCAUGGGCAGGUUGAAGGUUGGGUAACACUAACUGGAGGACCGAACCGACUAAUGUUGAAAAAUUAGCGGAUGACUUGUGGCUGGGGGUGAAAGGCCAAUCAAACCGGGAGAUAGCUGGUUCUCCCCGAAAGCUAUUUAGGUAGCGCCUCGUGAAUUCAUCUCCGGGGGUAGAGCACUGUUUCGGCAAGGGGGUCAUCCCGACUUACCAACCCGAUGCAAACUGCGAAUACCGGAGAAUGUUAUCACGGGAGACACACGGCGGGUGCUAACGUCCGUCGUGAAGAGGGAAACAACCCAGACCGCCAGCUAAGGUCCCAAAGUCAUGGUUAAGUGGGAAACGAUGUGGGAAGGCCCAGACAGCCAGGAUGUUGGCUUAGAAGCAGCCAUCAUUUAAAGAAAGCGUAAUAGCUCACUGGUCGAGUCGGCCUGCGCGGAAGAUGUAACGGGGCUAAACCAUGCACCGAAGCUGCGGCAGCGACACUGUGUGUUGUUGGGUAGGGGAGCGUUCUGUAAGCCUGUGAAGGUGUGCUGUGAGGCAUGCUGGAGGUAUCAGAAGUGCGAA
rnacentral:rRNA from 1 species